AUGGCGGAGGACGGCGUGCCGUUGGCCGAGUCCGAGUGGCUGCGUCGGUGGUGGCGGCGGGACUCUGGCCCGCUCGAACACCGGCCGGCUGCACUGGAACUCUAUGCAAAAACUCUUACCUGCCCUUCAAAAUCUGACGAGAGUAAAGGUUGGAGAUGGGCAGAUGGCUCGAGGACUUCUUUCUGGCAUGACCGUUGGCUAGGUAUUCAGCAACUUGCAAACCUAUUCCCGGCACUCUACUCGCACUCAACAAGCGGCCAUGCAACUGUCAAUGAAGUGCUUAGCAGGGGAAUCUUAUCGCAUGAUGUGGUUUUCAGAGGGCUUCAACCUUCUUUAGCUGCUUCCCUUUAUCGUGCUGUUAGCGAAGCAGGUCUUUGGGCAGAAUUGCUAGUGGUGCAGGAUAGAACUGUAAUAGAUGUGUGGAAACAAAUUUUCUCCUCCUGUCUUCAAUCUCUCAAUCUAGUGUAACAGAACUAUA
rnacentral:lncRNA from 1 species